CCGUCGCCGUCCGCGGGGCCUCCUGUCCGACGGCUGCUGCGGCUGCCGCUAGGGCAGCUGGUCUCCGCUUCGUCCGGCCCAGCCGAGGGACAGCAGCCGUUGCAGCCGGCCUCCAGUGCCCCCUCUCCCGCUGCAGCUCCGGGGCAUUUCUCCUCGCCCGGGCUCCAGCUGCGCCUGCUUUCGACCCGGCUCGCCGAGUCGCUGCUCACAGCCAUAGCGAGAGAUUGUGCUUUUCCUUUCUGCCCCUUCCCACUUCCCCGGCGGGGGCGGGGGACUGGGGGGUCGUGGGGUGCGUAGCUAUAACUCUCAAGAAUGCGCCCCCUCUUCCCUCCCUCCCGCCCGGGAAAAAAGGAUCCUGUUCUUGGCCACCUGCGCACAGUAGCAGUAAUAGUAGUAGUCGCAGUAAUGUCUCCUAAAACAACGUUCUUGUAGAGGAGGGAAUCGGAAGAAAAAGAAGGGGGAAUGUCAAUCUUUUUCUCUGUUUAGGGAGAACAGAAAUGGAGCCGCGCAGCUGCAAGGGCUGCGUGCACAAGAGGCGAUGCCCUAAAGUGGAAAUAAUGGCUCUUUAGGAGGAGUUGCACGACAUCAGGCAGGGACUGCACAUUUGCCAUAGAAUCGUCGCAGAGUAAGUUGCAAGGGGCCCGUAAGGCCAUCGGGUCCAGCCCGCCGCUCCGUGCACGAGUCCGAAGGGUUUCCGUCAGAGCGUUUGGAAAUCCAAGUUUCGUCCUACUCUCCGGGUGAAACGCAGAAAGGAAAAUGAAGUCACGCGCCGGGCUGUCAGUUUGCCGUCUUCGUUACAGAAAUACUUUGUGUGACGUCCAGUGGAAGUCAAGACCCAGGCAAGUAUGCAUAAUACUGCUGUCUGAGUAUAAGGGUUUUUUUCCUGCACCAAAGGUUUCCAUUCCAAUACUUGAGUUAGGGGGAAACAUUCUAGGGUAUUUAUUUGCCAUACAAAAUUAACCUGACAUAAUUUGUUUGGCUUUAAAACGAGGGUUUGUUAAAUAGUUCAGACAUGCUGCAGAAUAUCUGAAAUGAUUUAGGGCUGCCACAAAGAAAUUCCUGAAACUUUUCCAGAAAAUUCACACCAUUAGUCUUCUCUUACUAUGUACACUUCAGGUUUCGCAGUACCCCAUGCUUUUUCUAGCCCUAAGAAACAGCAUUGCCUUUGCUAAAACAUAGGGCUGGGUACUGCAGACUACACCAUAAUCCUCUCUCCUUUUCCAUCAGUAAAAUUUCUAGUAGAACUGGAGAUCAUGCUGUCUUCUAUCGUUGUCAUAUCAUGUUUAAGCCCUGAUUUUUUCCCUCUUGUGAGGAACCCAGAGUGGCUAAGAAGCUCCAUUGUUAUCCUCUCCACAACAACAUUGCAAAGUAGGCUAAACAGAUGUGAUUGGCCCAGAUUCUCUCAGGGCACUUCCUGUCUAGAACCUAGUGAGGACUAGAACCUAAAUCUCCCAGGUCCCCACUCCCAACUCUUAACAGUUUGGUGCCAUGCAGAGGUGGGUCAUGACCUUUUUUCCCCUGCAGUGGAGGGCAGGACACCUUGCAAUGGAGCAAAGUUCAGGGAACCAAGAUUUAGGGUGAAUGCCAGGAAGUACUUCCUAAUGGUUAGGACCCCGAGGGUAUGGAAUUGACUUUCAUGGGAAGUGAUUGAAACCCCAGUGGCAAAGGUGUUCAAGGAUAGGCUGGACAUGCACAUGAUAGGCGUGUCAUGAACAGAGCUGGCUGGAGCCAGGGGUUAGACUAGAUGACCUGGGAGACCCCUUCAGACUCACUCUGUUUCUAUGUUUCUAUGCCGCACUGACUGUAUAUUGCUAUGCAGAUGUGGGAAAUUGAACUCUCUGAGCUGAAAUUGGCAAAAGGUAUUGAUUCU